rnacentral:rRNA from 1 species
UGGGGAAUAUUGGACAAUGGGCGCAAGCCUGAUCCAGCCAUGCCGCGUGUGUGAUGAAGGCCCUAGGGUUGUAAAGCACUUUCAACGGUGAAGAUAAUGACGGUAACCGUAGAAGAAGCUCCGGCUAACUUCGUGCCAGCAGCCGCGGUAAUACGAAGGGAGCUAGCGUUGUUCGGAAUCACUGGGCGUAAAGGGCGCGUAGGCGGCUGCUUAAGUCGAGGGUGAAAGCCCGGGGCUCAACCUCGGAACGGCCUUCGAGACUGGGCGGCUAGAGAUCGGAAGAGGAGGGUGGAAUACCCAGUGUAGAGGUGAAAUUCGUAGAUAUUGGGUGGAACACCAGUGGCGAAAGCGGCUCUCUGGUCCGGAUCUGACGCUGAGGCGCGAAAGCGUGGGGAGCAAACAGGAUUAGAUACCCCGGUAGUCC